AUCUGGGCGGCGGAAUUCAGGAUGGCGGGCGCGUCUUCGCGGCGCGUUCGUCGUUUGAUAUUUCCGUCGCCGACUCAACCCGCAGACGUCGCGACCUGUUCGCGGUCGGUCCCUGCUCGGAGGAGUCACGUUCGAGUUUGUUGCGUGCGCGUUUAUGCGCGUUACGCGGCAAAGGCGUGAAUCUCUGGCUGGCCGUCGGACAGUACGCUUAACGGUGUCCGGUGUCGCCGUUUCGUACGCGCGCGCAUCGGUACCGGUCGGCGACGAAUUCUUCGGGCCUCUUUCCGACCCGUCUUGAAACACGGACCAAGGAGUCUAACAUGCGCGCGAGUCGCGGGGUGUCGAGCGUACUUCGGUGCGUUCGUUACGUUGCGAAACCCGUACAUGUCGAAGGCGUAAUGAAAGUAAAUGGGGAAGAUGGUGUUCCGAGUACACGUUCCGCGGUCAUUGGUACCGCGGCCGGACACCCGCAUUCCCGGGGCGUCUCAACGGCCCGUCGCGGAUGCGGGCAGUCGUCUCUCGGGGCGGCUGUCGGUCUGCGACGAACCGA
rnacentral:rRNA from 1 species